rnacentral:tRNA from 1 species
GCCGAAGUGGCGGAAUUGGCAGACGCGCGCGACUCAAAAUCGCGUGUGGCAACACCACGUGCCGGUUCGAGUCCGGCCUUCGGCACCA